rnacentral:lncRNA from 1 species
AGACCAGGCCCGUGGGGAGUGAAUGUUCGGGACGGUGCUCGAGAGCGCUACUGUUUGGAGUUACAGAUUCUGGCUUGUGCGAUGGCUUGCCGGAACCAAAGCGAACAAAAUAUUCGAACUUUCUUCCGAACACGGUGGUGGACUCUGUUCUGCCAUAAAGUCCUGAUCCUUCCCUGAUCGACUCCGCCCUCACCAGCCACACCACCGUUUCCAGGCCGGCCACACCUGUAAGCGACCCCCCUCAACCCUGGCAAAAAUAGAGAUGGUGGCCAUACGCGGCGGAGGACACCCCUGGAUAACAAAUAGUAUUACUGCAAAGUAUUUGGCAAUCAUUAUUUUUGGAUGAGCCGCUUUCCCCGCUAGAGUCACAUACACUCUUAGCAGCUGUCAGUUCUAACCCCAAAGAAAAGGGGGAUUCUAAAAGUUUUUGCCUAGGUUUUUGGCUUCUUUUCAAGGAAUCGUGUCUAGAUACAAAGUUAUUGGUUGUCCUCUAAAGCUGGCAUCUUUCACUUUGUUCUCUAGAUUCUAGAACAAACCCAGUUAUCAAAUAAGUUAAAUGGAAGAUGUUACAGGUUCUCCACAAUGAUUUUUUUUUCCUUUUUUUUUUCCAUUUCCAUUUUUCCAUUACAAGGACUGACCAGUCCACCCUUGGAAAAAUCGAGCAAGUUCUGAAAAUAAAAAGAAAGAAGUCCUGUGUUCCCAUGAUGAUGUCAUAAUUUCAUUUCGUGUCAAGAAAACCUGUGGCUGGUCUGGGUAUUG